UNNGAAAUCUGGCCCCCUUGGGGUCCGACUUGUAAUUUGGAGAGGAUGCUUCGGGUGUGGUCCCCAUCUAAGUGCCCUGGAAUGGGCGGUCAUGGAGGGUGAGAAUCCCGUCUGGGUUGGGUGGCCGCGCCCGUGUGAAGCUCCUUCGAGNAGUCGAGUUGUUUGGGAAUGCAGCUCUAAGCGGGUGGUAUAUUUCAUCUAAAGCUAAAUAUGGGCCGGAGACCGAUAGCGCACAAGUAGAGUGAUCGAAAGAUGAUAAGCACUUUGAAUAGNGAGUUAAACAGCACGUGAAAUUCUUGAAAGGGAAGCGUUGGCCACCAGACGCGACCAGNGGGGUUCUACCGGCACGUGUGCCGGUGCACUGCUCCCUGGAAGCGCCAGCAUCGGUUUGGGCGGCCGCUGAAAGGCCCCNNGAAUGUAGCACUCUUCUGGGAGCCAUAUAGCCCGGGGUGCCAUGCGCCCUGUCUGGACCGAGGCCCGCGCUUCGGCGAGGAUGCUGGCGUAAUGGUGGUCAACGGCCCGUCUUGAAACACGGACCAAGGAGUCUAACAUCUAUGCGAGUGUACGGGUGACAAACCCGUCCGCGCAGUGAAAGCGAACGNCGGUGGGAACCCGUUCCGGGUGCACCAUCGACCGAUCCUGAUGUCCUCGGAUGGANUUGAGUAAGNGCAAAGCUGUUGGGANCCGAAAGAUGGUGAACUAUGCCUGAAUAGGGCGAAGCCAGAGGAAACUCUGGUGGAGGCUCGCAGCGGUUGUGACGUGCAAA
rnacentral:rRNA from 1 species